rnacentral:rRNA from 1 species
AACGAACGCUGGCGGCGUGCCUAACACAUGCAAGUCGAACGGGAUUCGAAGCUUGCUCCGAUGAGAGUGGCGCACGGGUGAGUAACGCGUAGAUAAUCUGCCUGAUGAUCUGGGAUAACAGUUCGAAAGGACUGCUAAUACCGGAUAAGCCCACGGAGACCUUGGUCUUUGCGGGAAAAGGGGGGGACCUUCGGGCCUUCCGUCAUCAGAUGAGUUUGCGUACCAUUAGCUAGUUGGUAGGGUAAAGGCCUACCAAGGCGACGAUGGUUAGCUGGUCUGAGAGGAUGAUCAGCCACACUGGAACUGAGACACGGUCCAGACUCCUACGGGAGGCAGCAGUGGGGAAUUUUGCGCAAUGGGGGAAACCCUGGCGCAGCAACGCCGCGUGAGUGAUGAAGGCUCUUGGGUCGUAAAGCUCUGACAGAGGGAAAGAAGUGUAUGGUGGUUAAUACCCAUUGUACUUGACGGUACCCUCAAAGGAAGCACCGGCUAACUCCGCGCCAGCCGCCCGCAGUAAUAC